UCUUCCGUUUCCUUUUUCUUUCUUUUAGUGUCGUAGCAGCGUGCAUUUGGGGAUGAGGAAGACCAGGAGACGUCUUCAGGCUCUCAGCCAUGGUCAGGGGGAAGAGAUGAAAAUGACGUGAAUUUCGUGCUUCUGCAGGGGACAAAAAACUCUGCUUUGUAAGAUGGCUGUAGCCCAAUUCUCAGGCAUACAAGGAAAUGUUCUGAAGGCCAGGAUAAUAUUGGAAGAGUGCAUCAUUGUAGAAUUUGGCAAAUAAAAAGAAAUAAUAAAAACAUGGUGUUUGUCAUUAAAUCGCCAGACACCCUAUUUAUUCCGGAAAGGGUAUUGGAUCAAGACCAUCAGAUAAGCAAUGGAUGCUUGUUAAUGAGCAUGAGACACAAUUAUACCCCAAACCAGGCUUAAGUAAUUCUUCUCACUGAUGUACCCUCGGUGUGGACUAUAUGAUGAAAGCAAAUUAAUAUGCUGCUGCUUGAUGAAAGUGAAACUUGAAGUGUCUAGUUCAUCUUUUUGGGAAAGCACACUACAAAGCUGAUUGGUAACAAGCAAAUACAUUUAACUGGAAUAAGACUUGCCUCCAAUCUUAAAUUUCACAGCUGCAGCUUGCAACCCACCAACCAUGCAUGGCAGCCCACCAGAUUCAGGAAAUGUCUGUCUGUCCAGUGCUUAAAAAUAAGGGUUGUUCAGCAAGAGAGCAGAACUGAGCAUCAAGGAAGUUGAAGUGUAUGUGUGUAUUUAUGGUAUCAAGUCUUUAUAUUGACAAUUAAAAAUUACAUAAAAGCUCA